rnacentral:rRNA from 1 species
UACGUAGGGUGCAAGCGUUGUCCGGAAUUAUUGGGCGUAAAGAGCUCGUAGGCGGUCUGUCGCGUCUGCUGUGAAAACUCAGGGCUUAACCCUGAGCUUGCAGUGGGUACGGGGCAGACUAGAGUGCGGUAGGGGAGACUGGAAUUCCUGGGUGAUAGCGGUGAAAUGCGCAGAUAUCAGGAAGAACACCUAUGGGCGAAGGCAGCUCUC